UACGUAGGUGGCAAGCGUUGUCCGGAAUUAUUGGGCGUAAAGCGCGCGCAGGCGGUCCUUUAAGUCUGAUGUGAAAGCCCACGGCUCAACCGUGGAGGGUCAUUGGAAACUGGGGGACUUGAGUACAGAAGAGAAGAGUGGAAUUCCACGUGUAGCGGUGAAAUGCGUAGAGAUGUGGAGGAACACCAAUGGCGAAGGCAGCUCGCUGGGACGGUACUGACGCUGAGGCGCGAAAGCGUGGGGAGCAAACAGG
rnacentral:rRNA from 1 species